rnacentral:rRNA from 1 species
UGGGGAAUUUUGGACAAUGGGGGAAACCCUGAUCCAGCCAUCCCGCGUGUGCGAUGAAGGCCUUCGGGUUGUAAAGCACUUUUGGCAGGAAAGAAACGUCAUGGGUUAAUACCCCGUGAAACUGACGGUACCUGCAGAAUAAGCACCGGCUAACUACGUGCCAGCAGCCGCGGUAAUACGUAGGGUGCAAGCGUUAAUCGGAAUUACUGGGCGUAAAGCGUGCGCAGGCGGUUCGGAAAGAAAGAUGUGAAAUCCCAGAGCUCCACUUUGGAACUGCAUUUUUAACUACCGGGCUAGAGUGUGUCAGAGGGCGGUGGAAUUCCGCGUGUAGCAGUGAAAUGCGUAGAUAUGCGGAGGAACACCGAUGGCGAAGGCAGCCUCCUGGGAUAACACUGACGCUCAUGCACGAAAGCGUGGGGAGCAAACAGG